rnacentral:rRNA from 1 species
AGAGAACUCGGGAGAAGGAACUCGGCAAAUUGACACCGUAACUUCGGAAGAAGGUGUGCCCUAUUAGUGUGAAGUGAACAACGGAGCAUGAAUGGGUUGCAAAAAAUCGGUGGCUGCGACUGUUUAUUAAAAACACAGCACUCUGCAAACACGAAAGUGGACGUAUAGGGUGUGACGCCUGCCCGGUGCUGGAAGAUUAAAUGAUGGGGUGCAAGCUCUUGAUUGAAGUCCCAGUAAACGGCGGCCGUAACAAUAACGGUCCUAAGGUAGCGAAAUUCCUUGUCGGGUAAGUUCCGACCUGCACGAAUGGCGUAACGAUGGCCACACUGUCUCCUCCCGAGACUCAGCGAAGUUGAAAUGUUUGUGAUGAUGCAAUCUCCCCGCGGAAAGACGGAAAGACCCCAUGAACCUUUACUGUAGCUUUGUAUUGGACUUUGAACAGAUCUGUGUAGGAUAGGUGGGAGGCUUUGAAGCAGGGUCGCUAGAUCUUGUGGAGCCAACGUUGAAAUACCACCCUGGUGUGUUUGAGGUUCUAACCUAGGUCCAUUAUCUGGAUCGGGGACAGUGCAUGGUAGGCAGUUUGACUGGGGCGGUCCCCUCCCAAAGCGUAACGGAGGAGUUCGAAGGUACGCUAGUUACGGUCGGACAUCGUGCCGAUAGUGCAAUGGCAUAAGCGUGCUUAACUGCGAGACUGACAAGUCGAGCAGAUGCGAAAGCAGGACAUAGUGAUCCGGUGGUUCUGUAUGGAAGGGCCAUCGCUCAACGGAUAAAAGGUACUCUGGAUAACAGGCUGAUACCGCCCAAGAGUUCAUAUCGACGGCGGUGUUUGGCACCUCGAUGUCGGCUCAUCUCAUCCUGGGGCUGUAGCCGGUCCCAAGGGUAUGGCUGUUCGCCAUUUAAAGAGGUACGUGAGCUGGGUUUAAAACGUCGUGAGACAGUUUGGUCCCUAUCUUCCGUGGGCGCUGCAGAUUUGAGGAAGCCUGCUCCUAGUACGAGAGGACCGGAGUGGACGCACCUCUGGUGUAUCGGUUGUCACGCCAGUGGCAUUGCCGAGUAGCUAUGUGCGGAAGAGAUAACCGCUGAAAGCAUCUAAGCGGGAAACUCGUUCCAAGAUGAGAUCUGCCGGGGCCUUGAGCCCCCUAAAGAGUCGUUCAAGACCAGGACGUUGAUAGGUCGGGUGUGGAAGCGCAGUAAUGCGUUAAGCUAACCGAUACUAAUUGCUCGUGCGGCUUGACCA